rnacentral:rRNA from 1 species
UGCGCGGAAGAUGUAACGGGGCUAAACCAUGCACCGAAGCUGCGGCAGCGACACCGUGUGUUGUUGGGUAGGGGAGCGUUCUGUAAGCCUGUGAAGGUGUGCUGUGAGGCAUGCUGGAGGUAUCAGAAGUGCGAAUGCUGACAUAAGUAACGAUAAAGCGGGUGAAAAGCCCGCUCGCCGGAAGACCAAGGGUUCCUGUCCAACGUUAAUCGGGGCAGGGUGAGUCGACCCCUAAGGCGAGGCCGAAAGGCGUAGUCGAUGGGAAACGGGUUAAUAUUCCCGUACUUGGUGUUACUGCGAAGGGGGGACGGAGAAGGCUAUGUUGGCCGGGCGACGGUUGUCCCGGUUUAAGCGUGUAGGUAUGUGUUCCAGGUAAAUCCGGUUCACUUUAACACUGAGGCGUGACGACGAGGCACUACGGUGCUGAAGCAACAAAUGCCCUGCUUCCAGGAAAAGCCUCUAAGCAUCAGGUAACAUCAAAUCGUACCCCAAACCGACACAGGUGGUCAGGUAGAGAAUACCAAGGCGCUUGAGAGAACUCGGGUGAAGGAACUAGGCAAAAUGGUGCCGUAACUUCGGGAGAAGGCACGCUGACACGUAGGUGAAGUGAUUUACUCACGGAGCUGAAGUCAGCCGAAGAUACCAGCUGGCUGCAACUGUUUAUUAAAAACACAGCACUGUGCAAACACGAAAGUGGACGUAUACGGUGUGACGCCUGCCCGGUGCCGGAAGGUUAAUUGAUGGGGUCAGCGCAAGCGAAGCUCCUGAUCGAAGCCCCGGUAAACGGCGGCCGUAACUAUAACGGUCCUAAGGUAGCGAAAUUCCUUGUCGGGUAAGUUCCGACCUGCACGAAUGGCGUAAUGAUGGCCAGGCUGUCUCCACCCGAGACUCAGUGAAAUUGAACUCGCUGUGAAGAUGCAGUGUACCCGCGGCAAGACGGAAAGACCCCGUGAACCUUUACUAUAGCUUGACACUGAACAUUGAGCCUUGAUGUGUAGGAUAGGUGGGAGGCUUUGAAGUGUGGACGCCAGUCUGCAUGGAGCCGACCUUGAAAUACCACCCUUUAAUGUUUGAUGUUCUAACGUGGACCCGUGAUCCGGGUUGCGGACAGUGUCUGGUGGGUAGUUUGACUGGGGCGGUCUCCUCCUAAAGAGUAACGGAGGAGCACGAAGGUUGGCUAAUCCUGGUCGGACAUCAGGAGGUUAGUGCAAUGGCAUAAGCCAGCUUGACUGCGAGCGUGACGGCGCGAGCAGGUGCGAAAGCAGGUCAUAGUGAUCCGGUGGUUCUGAAUGGAAGGGCCAUCGCUCAACGGAUAAAAGGUACUCCGGGGAUAACAGGCUGAUACCGCCCAAGAGUUCAUAUCGACGGCGGUGUUUGGCACCUCGAUGUCGGCUCAUCACAUCCUGGGGCUGAAGUAGGUCCCAAGGGUAUGGCUGUUCGCCAUUUAAAGUGGUACGCGAGCUGGGUUUAGAACGUCGUGAGACAGUUCGGUCCCUAUCUGCCGUGGGCGCUGGAGAACUGAGGGGGGCUGCUCCUAGUACGAGAGGACCGGAGUGGACGCAUCACUGGUGUUCGGGUUGUCAUGCCAAUGGCACUGCCCGGUAGCUAAAUGCGGAAGAGAUAAGUGCUGAAAGCAUCUAAGCACGAAACUUGCCCCGAGAUGAGUUCUCCCUGAGACUUUAGGUCUCCUGAAGGAACGUUGAAGACGACGACGUUGAUAGGCCGGGUGUGUAAGCGCAGCGAUGCGUUGAGCUAACCGGUACUAAUGAACCGUGAGGCUUAACCUUACAACGCCGAAG